rnacentral:rRNA from 1 species
AUGAACAGUAACAGGGUCCCUGGUCCUGACAACAUUCCAGCAGAGUUCUACCAACACUGUUGGGAGAUUGUGAAGAAUGAUAUCAUGAAACUUUUUGCUGCUUUGCACGAAGGAACACUUGAUGUUCAAAGGUUGAAUUAUGGGAUCAUUACCCUUCUUCCUAAGAUCAGUGGUGCAAACAAAAUCCAACAGUUUAGGCCUAUAUGUUUACUUAGAUGUCCAUAUAAGCUGAUCACAAAAGUAUUAGACAACAAAGCAGCCCCCUAUGCUGACAUUCUGUUUAGCAAACACCAAAAUGCUUUUAUUAAGCACAGAAACAUUAUGGAUGGGGUGCUAACUCUGCAUGAUAUUUUGCAUCAUACACAUGUUAAGAAAAAAAUUGGCAUCAUUAUCAAGCUUGAUUUUGAAAAAGCAUAUGAUAAGGUCAAUUAG